rnacentral:rRNA from 1 species
GGCGUUUAGUCUGGGCGCCGCGCGCUACACUGAUCAAGUCAACGAGUUUACAACCUUGGCCGGAAGGUCUGGGUAAUCUUUUGAAACUUGAUCGUGCUGGGGAUAGUCCAUUGCAAUUAUUGGACUUCAACGAGGAAUUCCUAGUAAGCGUGAGUCAUCAGCUCGCGUUGAUUACGUCCCUGCCCUUUGUACACACCGCCCGUCGCUACUACCGAUUGAAUGGCUUAGUGAGGCUUUCGGAUUGGAUCUGAGCAGCUGGCAACAGCAGCUUGGAACUGAAAAGUUAUCCAAACUUGGUCAUUUAGAGGAAGUAAAAGUCGUAACAAGGUUUCCGUAGGUGAACCCUGCGGAAA